AUCUAGAUGACCAGUCCCAAAUAGGACGAAAAGUGUGUUCUAGAU
rnacentral:hammerhead_ribozyme from 1 species